GACGAACGCUGGCGGCGUGCUUAACACAUGCAAGUCGAACGGAAAGGCCCUGCUUUUGUGGGGUGCUCGAGUGGCGAACGGGUGAGUAACACGUGAGUAACCUGCCCUUGACUUUGGAAUAACUUCAGGAAACUGGGGCUAAUACCGGAUAGGAGCUCCUGCUGCAUGGUGGGGGUUGGAAAGUUUCGGCGGUGGGGGAUGGACUCGCGGCUUAUCUGCUUGUUGGUGGGGUAGUGGCCUACCAAGGCUUUGACGGGUAGCCGGCCUGAGAGGGUGACCGGCCACAUUGGGACGGAGAUCCGGGCCAAACUCCUAAGGGGGGCAGGAGGGGGGAAUAUUGGACAAUGGGCGGAAGGCUGAUGCAGCAACGGCGCGGGCGGGAUGACGGCCUUCGGGUUGUAAACCGCUUUCGCCUGUGACGAAGCGUGAGUGGCGGUAAUGGAUAAAGAACCGCCGGCUAACUAC
rnacentral:rRNA from 1 species